rnacentral:rRNA from 1 species
UACAGAGGGUGCGAGCGUUGUUCGGAAUUACUGGGCGUAAAGCGUGCGCAGGCGGUUUUGUAAGCCAGAUGUGAAAUCCCCGGGCUUAACCUGGGAAUGGCAUUUGGGACUGCAAGGCUUGAGUGCGGCAGAGGAGACUGGAAUUCCUGGUGUAGCGGUGAAAAUGCGCAGAGUAUCAGGAGGAACACCGGUGGCGAAGGCGGGUCUCUGGGCCGAUACUGACGCUGAGGAGCGAAAGCGUGGGGAGCGAACAGG